rnacentral:rRNA from 1 species
AUGGAUUUAUUACUGCCACUUAUACCACUUCUUUUGAUUGCUGGAGGAGACAGUCAGCAUGCGAGUUUCACUGAUGCUGCCAUGACAACAUCACCAAACUCGCGAUCUUUAACGCUGACGUUUAUAGCCCAACAAGAUGAUGACAUUACUAUUCAAUCCAAUGACCUCAAGUUUUUCAAAGGACUGCGGAAAAUUGGACCAAAAUAUGGAAGAGUCAAACCAGAAGAUGAUAACGGGGAUAAACAUGUUCAUAUUGCAUCUCAAGUUGAUGAUGGUUUAGAGGAGGUCUCUGAGUCAGAACAUGAAGGGGAUCCAAAAAGACUUACAAUGUCAUAUGGGCCAGAACUUGAAGAGGGUCCAGAUAAACUUACAAUGUCAUAUGGGACACAAGAUGAAGAGGAUCCAGAAAAACUUACAAUGUCAUAUGGGUCACAAUAUGACGAAGAUCCAGAUAAACUUACAAUGUCAUAUGGGUCAGAACAUGAAGAUCACCAAGAAAAAGUUACAAUGUCUUAUGUGUCAGAACAUGAAGAUGAUCCUGAUAAACUUACUAUGUCACAUGAUUAG